rnacentral:rRNA from 1 species
AUUGAACGCUGGCGGCAGGCCUAACACAUGCAAGUCGAACGAGUGGCGGACGGGUGAGUAAUGUCUGGGAAACUGCCCGAUGGAGGGGGAUAACUACUGGACACGGUAGCUAAUACCGCAUACCAUCGGAUGUGCCCAGAUGCGAUUAGCUAGUAGGUGGGGUAACGGCUCACCUAGGCGACGAUCCCUAGCUGGUCUGAGAGGAUUACCAGCCACACGGGAAAUGAGACACGGUCCAGACUCCUACUGGAGGCAGCAGAGGGGAAUAUUGCACAAGGAGCGCAAGCCUGAUGCAGCCAUGCCGCGUGUAUGAAAAAGGCCUUCGGGUUGGAAAGUACUUUCAGCGAGGAGGCGUUACGCGCAGAAGAAGCACCGGCUAACUCCGUGCCAGCAGCCGCAGUAAUUC